UCGUUGUAGCAAUACAGUGGAAAGUUCAGUGGCGAACGGGUGCGUAACACGUGGGCAAUCUGCCUUAAAGUGUGGGAUAGCUCGGCGAAAGCCGAAUUAAUACCGCAUGUGGCUACUGGAGACAUCUUCGGGACGCUAAAGGUGGCGCAAGCUACCGCUUUUUGAGGAGCCCGCGGCCUAUCCGCUUGGUGGGGAGGAGGUAACGGCUCACCAAGGCGUUGACGGGUAGCUGGUCUGAGAGGACGACCAGCCACACUGGGACUGAGACACGGCCCAGACACCUACGGGUGGCAGCAGUCGAGAAUUUUUGACAAUGGGGGAAACCCUGAUCGAGCGACGCCGCGUGGAGGAUGAAGGUCUUCGGGUUGUAAACUCCUGUCAUUUGAGAACAAGGCGCGGCUAUUAACUGUAGUCGCGUUGAUAGUAUCAGAAGAGGAAGAGACGGCUAACUCUGUGCCAGCAGCCGCGGUAAUACAGAGGUCUCAAGCGUUGUUCGGAUUCAUUGGGCGUAAAGGGUGUGUAGGUGGCGCGCUAAGUCGGGUGUGAAAUUUCGGAGCUUAACUCCGAAACUGCAUUCGAUACUGGCGUGCUUGAGGACUGGAGAGGAGACUGGAAUUCACGGUGUAGCA
rnacentral:rRNA from 1 species